UUAGCCAAACAAGUAUUAAAGGCGACGCCUGCCCAGUGAACUAUUAAACGGCCGCGGUAUCCUAACCGUGCAAAGGUAGCAUAAUCAUUUGUCUAUUAAUUGUAGACCUGUAUGAAAGGCAUAAUGAGAGCCCAACUGUCUCUUAUAACAAAUCAAUUAAACUGAUCUCCUAGUACAAAAGCUAGAAUAUCAACAUAAGACCAGAAGACCCUGUGAAGCUUUAACUAACCUAUUAAACCCAAUAAUAAUUACUUUCGGUUGGGGCGACCUUGGAACAAAAAAGAACUUCCAACACAUGACUUCUUCAUAAAAUAGGCAUACAAGCCAACACUAGACCCAGCACAGCUGAUAAUUGAAAUAAGUUACUCCAGGGAUAACAGCGCCAUCUUCUUCAAGAGCCCAUAUCAAAAAGAAGGUUUACGACCUCGAUGUUGGAUCAGGACAUCCCAGUAAUGCAACCGUUACUAAAGGUUCGUUUGUUCAACGAUUAACAGUCCU
rnacentral:rRNA from 1 species